GCCUCCUUAGCUCAGUUGGUAGAGCGGCUCACUCGUAAUGAGCAGGUCGCGGGUUCAAGUCCCGUGGGAGGCU
rnacentral:tRNA from 1 species